UCUGUGGUAUUUGGGGAUGGCAGCCCGAGCUAAGACAGGUGGUUGGAGAGGGCUUCAUGCAGAAGUAGACCUUUGAGCUGCACCUUGAAAGAUGAGCAGGGAUUUGCUGGAAGGAUGGGCAGACAGAAUGGCAGGUGCAAAGGUGGAGAGGCUGCGAGUGCAUGGCAUGCUCUGGUGAUAAAGGACAAGAUGUGUGCCAGGCUGGAGUGCAGGGAUUGCUGGGGAGGGGCCUAGAUAAGGCUGGAUCCACAGACAGCGCUGGGUUCACGGCCAAGGCCACUUCUGGUAAGGACAGAGCCUAUCUCAAAAGCAUUUGCCGUUCAGCUCUUAGCAGGUGAGCACUGUGAUCCAGUUUGGACUCCUGAAAGGAGACUGUGGUAGGAGCUAGAGACCAGAGGGUGGACCACAGGAAAGAACAAUGGAGAUCUGAGGUCCCGAGGCCCCCGGCGGGGGGGGGGGGGGGGGGAGGGUGGAGGAAAGGAUGGAUUUGAAUGUCAGGACUUAGAGUCUGGGUAGGAGCUGAAAGCCUGGUUUAUGCGGCGGAGGGGGGUGGGGGGGGGAGUGAUGGGGGUGGAUAGAGUCGCUGCUCCAAAAAACCCUCAGGGACACCUACCUGUCUGCUUUGUGGCUCUGGAGAAGAGGACAGUCGCCCAGGAAUGGCCUUCAGGAUCUACCGGGCCGUAUUCUAGUUUUCCCUGUUGCAAGAGAACAUGUGGGGACAGGAGAAAGCCAGUCGUGGUCUCUGGGUGGAUCUGUGGGGCUGAGCUGUGGGAGCGUCCAGGAGCCUGGAGCAGGAGUCUUGGAGCUCUCCGAGCCCUGACAAGACCUGGCUACAGCUCCUGGGGGCCAGAGGAGAGAAGAGGCUCUGUCCCUGGCUGUCCUUUGUACAAGGGAGAAAAUCAGCAACAGAGCUUAAUGGAUAUAAGAUCGGUCACUGGAAGCAGGACUAAUUAAGAUAAUUAUGAGGCCUAACGAAGAUAAGACAGAAGACAAGAACUACACUUUCCAGGACAAUUUGAGCUCUGACUAGAAGCCAUGAGUAUCUCAUACAAUAUGUCUAACAGCGAUUCAGUAAAAUAUCCCCAAAGAUCCUCCUAAAACGUAGACACGCAAAACACAGCGCAAUUUACUCUAUGGAUACUUUAUGGACAAGUGCACUGGUGAAUGAGUUUUACACUUACUCGUUUUAUGUUUUAGAUAUUGGCAGGUAUAGUGUAUGAACUCAAGGGACAGUCAAGCAAGAGUCUAGUGUUUCUUACCAACAGUCUCUGGGCACUUGGAGAAACCAUUUUUAUCCCUUAUUAAAUUAUAUACACCCCAUCCCAGCAGGAGGCCUGGUGAUAUGCGGGAUCCUUCAGACCUGUUACAAUCCCUCCCACACCACUUCCUAGCUGGGUGACCUUGGGCAAGUUGAAUAUCUCUGAACCUCUCUCUUACUUCUGUGCACGCAUGCAUUUCUGGCUUGUUCUAGGGCAAAGCACACAGAAGUCCCACGAGGCAUAACUGACUGCAUCAGCAGGAGCUAGAAAUUAUGGAGCUGUUAGGAAAUGUAACUAGAUUAUACGUAUACCAUGUGAAAUUGUAACCGGGAGGAUUCUGAUCUGUAGAAGACCUAUGCUGUCAGGUUCAUGAGAACCAGCUGGUUUCCAGUUUUCUCUUAAUUUUCUUUGACUGUGAUGUGUGUAUGUUUUUUCCCCUCCUUGUUUGUUUAUCGCAUCUGCUUGCAACUGCUAGCAGAUAAACAGUAGCAGGCACCAAAAAUUUUAGAAAGAGAAAACUGAGCUGAAAUUUAAAAUUCAUGGAUGCCUGGGUGGCUCAGUGGAUUAA